rnacentral:lncRNA from 1 species
CCCCUGCCGGUGCCCUCCCCGCCCGGCCCUAGCUCUCUCGCCUUCUCGCCCGCCCGGCGCUGGCCCUGCUGGAUCCUGCGCGCCGGGGACUGGGGGCUGGCAGUGCAGACCGAACCCGGGGCCGAGGGGCUUCUCCACAGAGCCGCCUGGGGCUCGGUGGGGGGCGCUCAGCUCGACCCCAGCUAAGGGAGCACUAGGAAGUGCGGGCGUCCCCUUCCCUGCACCCUUGCGGGGCGGGAACCGUCGACCUAGAAGAAAAAAAAAGCUGAGGCAAACUUGAUAUAAGUAGAGAGGUUAUUUGGGCCAAGUUUGAAGAUUGCAACCCGGGAGCAUAGCUUCAAGUUGCCCUGAACAUAGGAUUUGCAACAGUGACAAAGGUGAGGCCAGAGAAGUGACAAGACAGAUGCCAGUCCAGCAGGUGGGCAUGUCCAGAAAGUGCAGCCUCAGGACACGGUCUGGGAACAAAGACUGCUGGAGAGUUGGAAGCUGGCAAGAGGCUCUCAGCUGUGAAGUACCUGGGGUGGGGGAGAAGUGGUCGGAGAAAGCAGAGAACACAAUUGAAGGCACUGGUUAUUCUAGCAAGGCUUUGACUGGAAUGGCAUAUUUUCAGAUAUGACCAGACUGCUCUGAGGAAUUCAGGUUGGCUUUAUAGAGUCAAUAAAAAGCUACCUGGAAAGAGUGGCCAUGUACCUUAUCUAUACAGUUCCCUUACAAGGUUCCUGAUCUUGAGACAUUUGGCUUCACUUGAACCUGUGUUUGAAGCUUUAGUGAACAUUGUCUUUGGGAGUAAGAAGUACUAGAAAAUUUAUGUUCAUCUGCAUCUUGUCACUGGGACAUGAGCAUAGGUGGUCUACCUUCAGUUUGGUCUGUGAACAGGAGGAUUACUUGAGCUCAGGAGUUCUAGUCCAGCCUGGGCAACAGAGCAAGACCCUGUCUCAAAAAGAAAGAAAGAAAUGAGGAUAUGAGUUUGCUGCUCUUUAAAUCGAUGACUUUGCAGCUCUUCAUCUGAAGAGGUGGCGUCUGUUUCUCCUGUUUGAGUGUGGCACAUCCAGGAGAGUGGCUUUGAGCAGUGGUGUGGCAGACGUGACUGUAGGCCAGCCCUGAGCUGAGGCUGCCAGGGGACUGCACACUUCUUCUCUCAGCUCUGCCAGCUGCUGCACUGUGUCUGGGCCAGCCCGCUGGAGCACAGAGUUCAGUGCAUUGGGACAGCUACAGCCCAUUGCAUCGGGACAGCCCACAGCAACAAGACCCACCUGUCGCCACUGCAGGUGCGUGAGGGUGCCCGGCUGAGAGCAGACAAACCGCCUAGCAGGUGGCUUUUCAAGCGGAAUCACAGACUAGCUCCAUCGCUGUGGUGAACGUUCUCCCCAGUGCCAGGAUUCCACUUGGCCCCUGACUGCUUGAGCAGCCGAUGUGACAGCCAUCUCUCUGCUGCCGUGCAUGUCGGCUGGGCUGGAGCCAGUGCAUCAGGAAGUAGACGCAGAAGUGGAUCAGGAGCAAAACAUUCCUGAGAGCUGGCAGAAGCUGGCGUCUGGAGCCGCUGGGAUGCGGGUCUCAUGGAACAAGGAAAUCAAAAAAACACCCGCCCGUGCACAAAUGGAUUUCCUGAACCCUUCUGUGCGCCAGUCCUUGGGGACGCAAAUGUGAAUGAGGCGGCGCUCUGUUGAAUUUCCGUGCCCAAACUCACCAACGUGCACAGAUACUGAUGUGGGAACACCCGCUAUAAGGUGGCCUGGAGCAGUGAAGACCCUGCUCUCUUGUGAACUCCCGCAACCAUGGCCAGCCCCCUGGGGCUCCCAGACCUUGGCAGUCAGCCCUUGUGGUUUUUAAAAAAUUUAUUUUUAUUUUUAUUUUUAGAGGCAGGGUCUCAUUAUGUC